CCUACGGGAGGCAGCAGUCGGGAAUAUUGCACAAUGGGCGAAAGCCUGAUGCAGCAACGCCGCGUGCGCGAUGAAGGCCUUCGGGUCGUAAAGCGCUUUUCGGGAGGAUGAGGAAGGACAGUACUCCCGGAAUAAGUCACGGCUAACUACGUGCCAGCAGCCGCGGUAAAACGUAGGUGGCGAGCGUUAUCCGGAUUUACUGGGCGUAAAGCGCGUUCAGGCGGUCUGGCAAGUCGGGCAUGAAAUCUCUUGGCUCAACCAGGAGAGGCUGUCCGAUACUUUCAGACUUGAGGGCAGUAGAGGGUGGUGGAAUUCCGGGUGUAGUGGUAAAAUGCGUAGAUAUCCGGAGGAACACCAGUGGCGAAGGCGGCCAUCUGGA
rnacentral:rRNA from 1 species